GUGCUCACUUCGGCAGCACAUAUACUAUAAUUGGAAUGAUACAGAGAAGAUUAGCAUGACCCCUGCACAAGGAUGACUCUCAAAUUUGUGAAGCAUUCCAUAUUUUU
rnacentral:snRNA from 1 species